AAACGCGACGAUUGGGAGCGGCCACGGUGUCACUCAGCGCCUCGGAGCCCUGCAAUUGGCUGCCUUUGCAGAAACCCAGCCCCUUCUCCUCCGCGUUACCGGUGGCAACGCGAGCUGGAGGCGGAGCGCAGAGGGCGCUCCAGCAGCUCCGGUGGGCAAUUGGGGAAAAUUAAGCCCCUACCUGUUUCUGAUCAAGAAAAUUAAUGAUUUGCGUGGCUGUCAAUUGACUAUGGCAAGGUGUGUGCACGCGCCAGCACCCCUGCGUGCGUGAUUUUGAUUUGAUCUUGUGGUUCUGCAGUGGAGAUCAAGCAGGAAUUUAUUUAUACUUGAAAUUCACCAAGAGAGCAGCCAGAAUAAAAUAAUAUCCCACAACCUCCACGUGCAACACUACACGAGUUUAUUUCUAAUAACCGAUCAGAAGCACAGAUCAGUCAUAAAACCAGCAGCCAUCUAUUCUCCCUCUCCUUCCUGUUGCGGUGUUUGGAAGGUGAGGAGCAGUGAUGGCAUCAGGCGCGUCUGAUGAUUCUUAAUUCACACCAGCCCGGACCGGUGUGCGCGUCUGUGUGUGAGGGUGUUUGGAGGCAAGUUUCAUCAAACCGCAGGAGCAGGAACAUGUUUGUAGUAAACAGCUUCCACCAGGGAAACGGUCAAGAGCGAGAGAAAAGAACGGAGCAGUUUUUACGCAUAAGAAAACGCUUCCCUGUGCACUGAAGCUUGUGGAUCCAAUGGUGCUGGAGGUGAUGGGAGACUGUUUGAUGCCACUGACCGACUGAGUGGCCCCGGGGGCAGAAGAGUAGAGUGAAGGACACAUACAGGUGAAUCUGAACCUGACCGAGGGAGCGAUUCUGCGUAAAGGACAAGAGGAGACGCAGAUCAGAGCGCAGACAAAAUGUUUUUUUCUGUAUUGAGAGCAGAAACAACUUGGUGACAAAAAAGUUGCUCAGACCCAAACGGAUGUAAUGAUACCUCUGAUACAAGAGAUUAACUCUAACGUUUCCCAGUAUUUUACCAAAUCCAACAAAGCAGCAUCUGUGUCAUUGUCUGUUACGCGCAGUUCUCUUCACCAGGCACGGACAGAUUCUCCCUCACGAUCCUCCUGCUCUUCUCUCUCCCUCUUUUUUUAUGCAUUUCUAAUAUCACGCGCAGCUCCCGCAGUCUGUGUCCACAUCUGGUGCAAUUGGAUUUUUCCAUUUUCUCUCCUCCAUCCUCGCGAUCCCGCAGCUGUGCACAUUUCCCGCGUCCUACCCUGACUGAUGGCUGACGGACAGGUGAUGGAUUGGCUCAAGGGCACGUCGGUGCAGAGCCGAAGCCGAGCAGAGAACCAUGAACCCGGCAGCGGCAGGCUCUCUCUCCCUCUCCCUCUCCCUCUCUCUCUCCCUCUUGCAGACUCUCUGGCGCCGGCGCCGUGACGUCAUCCCAUUCACAGCAGCCCUCGAGCCAGGCCUCGCGGCGCCGCUGAGGCGGUUUCCAUGGAGACGGGGUUUCGGAGGUGGUUCUCAGCUGAUCGUCCCGGGACGCGGGUGUUUUUUCUCGGGGUCGCUGCGGGUUUGCGCCUCGGUGGCGGUUUGAGGGUCCAGCGGCCUCAGUUACAUGAGGAGAAGACACGGAGCUUCACUAACACUCAACACGACAUGUGACCAACAGGGAGGAGAAGAGUUGAACCUCGCCACUGAUGGAAUGUAACAUUUACUCACACUCGGAUUCUUGUAGUUUGAUUUCAGAGGGAAUUAAUUAACCAACACCUUGACUCCUCCAGGCUCCAUUUACUUAACAUCUUGAGUUUACAAAUAAAUGUUUUUAACAUCUUAA